AGGACGAACGCUGGCGGCGUGCUUAACACAUGCAAGUCGAGCGGUAAGGCCUUUCGGGGUACACGAGCGGCGAACGGGUGAGUAACACGUGGGUGAUCUGCCCUGCACUUCUGGAUAAGCCUGGGAAACUGGGUCUAAUACCGGAUAUGACCUCCUAUCGCAUGGUGGGUGGUGGAAAGAUUUAUCGGUGCAGGAUGGGCCCGCGGCCUAUCAGCUUGUUGGUGGGGUAAUGGCCUACCAAGGCGACGACGGGUA
rnacentral:rRNA from 1 species